UAUUGCUAAGUUCUAUUUCCUAUUUUCUUAGAAAUUUUGCAUCUGUAUUCAUGAAAGAUAUUGUUCUGUAAUAUUCUUUUUUUGUACUGUCUUUGUCUGGUUUUGGUAUGCAGGUAAUACCAGCUUGAUGAAAUAAAUUGGGGUGGGUUCCUUCCUAUUUUAUUUUCUGGAAAAUAUUUUGUAGAAUUGAAGUAAAUUCUUCUUUAUUCUUUUUUAUUCUCCAAAGACACCAUUUAAGCCUGAAGAUUUCUUUGUUAGGCGUUUUUUCACUACCAAUUAAUUCCAUUUAUUUAGUAGCUUUGGGCUAUGCAAAUGAUCUAUUUCAUAUUGGUAUGCUCAAGGACCAUGAUCAGCUGACUCCUGGAGGUUUUCAUUUAUCAGAUUGAUGUACAACUCUGACAGGUAACCAGGAGGAAUGAAGUCCAGCAUGAAUUUGGCCCCCAUCAGAUGUGUAGAAGAGCCAGGGGAUGAGGGUCUAGAGAGGGAACAACUGAUGAAUAAAAAAGCUCC
rnacentral:lncRNA from 1 species